AAAAACAGAAAAAACUGAAACCAAGGAAGAUGCAGAAUGAACGGAGCUUCAACUUGGUUGGAACACAAGGAAUCAAUCCUCUGAAUUAGAACUUGGGCUUGAUUCAGGCCAACAUUAAAAACACAAUGAUUCAAUAUGAUGAUCGUUGUUUUUACAAAUACGGUACUUCAGAAAAAAAUGAAGUGGGUAAACUGCAAAAGUAGCUAUUUCUAUAGCCCUGUCUGAUUGUCCAGGUGUAUUUUAUCAUACUGAAAACUGAGGGAAGUUUCUCAUUUCCAUUGCUAAUCACAAGAUGUUUUCGAAAACAGUAUGCAUCAGUUUUCUUGCCAGCACACACCUGUAAGCGUUGCUUUAGGGUGUCUAGGAAAGAACUGUCCCGUGAUGUGGAAUGUGAGUUGAGAAACAGUAUUAGACCUCCCCUGUUGUGGGCAGGUGAGGAAGCUCAGUUUCACUACGAGCCAAAUAACAGAGUCACCUGCACGUGUUAAUCUGCAAAGCAAGAUUUGGUAAGACCAGCUGGUUUCUCUAAAUAACACAAAUACAGCAGUCACGUGUGAACAAGUGACCAUCUCCUUCGCUUGAGGGUGGAGACAGCUGAAGAGGGGCUGUACCCGAACAACUUGUGGACACUUUUUUGCUCUGCGGUUGUCUUUUAUCAAAUAAGAGAAUCAAAUUUGUUAUUACAGUGAUGCGUUCAUUUUAACGUCCUCAGGCAUCGAUUUAUGUAUGCAGUGUAUGUGACUGCACAGAAAGUGAUUCUCUAAGACCAUAUUGUAAAUGAGAUCUUUAAUACUCAAGUAGUAUUGUUGUAUUCCUCUUUAAGAAACAAACUUAUAUUUGUUAUCUGGCUUCAGCGCUUUAUCUAAACAGAGAGAAUAACUAUUUCUGAAAUGUCAAGUCAGUGGAAAUUUGAGGAGAUGAGCUUUUGGCCCAUGCAAGUAGAAAUAACUGUGAGAGCUGUAUGAGGUCUGAAUUCCUUUGUGCAAAGUCUUGCAGCGUACACAGCGUGUGUUCAGAGCUCCCCAAACUUUGUGAAAUAAUCAGCCCAAGAGAUUACCCUGUCUUGUAUGAUAGACUUGCUACGACUUCACAAAAAUGUAAAAAAAGGAUCAAAUUCAAACAAAAAAAAAAUGAAAUUUAUGUAUGUUACAUGUUAAAGAACUGCUCUAGAUUGGACUCAACUCAGAGGGAAGGUAUUUUAUUUGCAAAUCAUAUUCAGUGUUUUGUCUUUCAAAUGUUAGCGAGUUAGCCUGAGUCUGUGCAGCUGUACCCUUUACAGAAUAAUCAACUUACCUUAACAGCAAGAGUUACGUGUAUGACAUUGUUCAGGGGAGAAGAAAAAUUCCUUUUUUAAUCUCACCGUGUUGUUAAAGAAUUGGAUGAGUCUACCUCAAAGGGUAUCCUUGACAAUGGAACUGUUACAGGCUAAAAAAAAUGGUGUGGUGGUAUGGCAGUGCCACCCUUUGCUCUGCUCGUCUUUCGUGGUGUCAGCCUUCCCUCUGGUAGCAUUUGCUUACUAGGCUGAAUAUAUUGUAUGUGAUUUUAUUAACGUUUAUAUUUUUUUCUCUCUAAUGUUGUAUAAAGUUUUAAAAAGUACAGAAUAUGUUUCCUGUAUGUAACGUGUAUAUAUUUUCUUACCAUGUAAAGUUGACUUUGCAGUCCUGUAUAUUUUGAAGAAGGAAAGGGUUGGGGUCUAGAUUGACACCUCUUUUGUAUUGCAGUUCAGAACACAUUGAAACUGCUGUGCUUUUUUUUUUUUUUUUUUCCCAUACAAAGUAACCACUUUGAUACAUACUUCUAUUUAAUAGACCCGUGGAAAAUAAAACCAGACGUGGUUUUCUAAUUAAACGUCUCUGCGCAAAAUGUGUAUGCAUCAACUGUUUCACAAAAAAAUGGCUGCAGGUCCUAUUUUGGUCUUGCUGCAGACACUGUAGUUCAGAGGUUCGCAGCUGAUGAGCUUACUAUAAAUGGAGAAAGUCCUGAAGUAGUUCUCAGCUCAGCCAGUUCUGUGUUUUCAUGCUUAAUGUCUGUGUAUACAAUCUGGCAUUUCUCCUCUCUCCCCCCAUCCCCCUUUUGUCUGGACUUGCUUCCAUCUGUUUUGUAGCUGAGUAAUAAUCCCCCAGUUGCUGAAGUCUAGACGUUGGCUGAGUUGGAGCUCACCGGUGUCCCUACAGAGAUGAUCCCAAAGCAUCGCUGCGGAGUCUUAAAAGGGACUGCCGAGCUGAGUACUGCUUCAGGACCGGCAGUGAAAUAGCAAACCUGCUGCUGUUUUGUGUUUUGCUGACUCAUUUACUGGCCCCCAGCCAGAAGCUACACGCAUUGAAAAAGGCUGUUUGCACAGUAAAUGUCUUAACUGCUUUGGUUGUCUUCAGAUAAGCGUUUUUGCACUGAGGUUUAUCUUGAUAUUACGUUGGUUGUACUAAAAACCAUGUUAUCUCAUUUCACGGACAAUUAGAUGCACUUUAUUGCAGUAAUCACAGACAAAAAAUUAAAGGCUGCCUAUAAAAUAUACAUUUGUGGCUUUUCUUUUUUAUUUUUUCCUUCUGACAAGCCUCUGCGUGGCUUAAAGUUUGCUUCUAAGUUGGAGAAACCGGCCAGCACACUUCACGUUGUCACCGUUGUGUUGUGGAACUCGGUAAUGGAUGGGGAUUUCACAAGUGAUUAAUGACUCGCAGGCAGGUCUGGCUGAAG
rnacentral:lncRNA from 1 species